UACGUAGGGUGCAAGCGUUGUCCGGAAUUAUUGGGCGUAAAGAGCUCGUAGGCGGUCUGUCGCGUCGGCUGUGAAAACCCGGGGCUCAACCCCGGGCCUGCAGUCGAUACGGGCAGACUAGAGUGCGGUAGGGGAGACUGGAAUUCCUGGUGUAGCGGUGAAAUGCGUAGAUAUCAGGAGGAAUACCGAUGGCGAAGGCAGGUCUCUGGGCUGACACUGACGCUCAUGCACGAAAGCGUGGGGAGCAAACAGG
rnacentral:rRNA from 1 species